rnacentral:lncRNA from 1 species
GAAUUUUACAUUUGUUAGAGAUACAUGAAGUACCGGUACCUUAUCCCGGCCUCGUUAACGUUAGUAUAUAGCAUUUCAUUGAUAAGUUAGUACUUGUUAGUGCACAAUAUAUAUAUAUAUAUAUAUAGUUAUAAUGACAUGUAUGUAACUGAAUAGAAAUAUGAUAACAUGAUGUAUUAUAAAUUCUAAUUUAUGAAAUUAAUUUAAUUUUUGCUGCAACCAGAU